CUCCCAAACCCCUGUGAACAUACCUAUGUUGCUUCGGCGGGCCGUCCCGCGGCGCGCUCUCGUGGCGUGACCCGGACCCAGGCGCCCGCCGGGGAACCAAACUCUUGUCUUCUAGUGUCUCCUCUGAGUGGCAUAAGCAAAAAUAAACAAAACUUUCAGCAACGGAUCUCUUGGUUCUGGCAUCGAUGAAGAACGCAGCGAAAUGCGAUAAGUAAUGUGAAUUGCAGAAUUCAGUGAAUCAUCGAAUCUUUGAACGCACAUUGCGCCCGCCAGUAUUCUGGCGGGCAUGCCUGUCUGAGCGUCAUUUCAACCCUCAGCCCCCGUUCGCGGGGCGCUGGCGUUGGGGCCCGGCCGUCCUCGCGGCGGCCGUCCCCGAAACACAGUGGCGGUCUCCCGCAGACUCCCCUGCGUAGUAGCACUACCUCGCAGAAGGGACGAGCGGGCUGGCCACGCCGUAAAACACCCCACUUCUCCAGGUUGACCUCAGAUCAGGUAGGAAUACCCGCUGAACUUAAGCAUAUCAAUAAGCGGAGGAAAU
rnacentral:rRNA from 1 species